CAGUAGUCAGGCAUUAAGCUUUUAUUAAUAAUAAGAAAAAAAAGUAGAUGGUAUUUAUACAAUGUUUCACAACUAUGACCUCAUUUGAGUCUCACAACAACCCUGGGAGAUAGGUCCUAUUAUCAUGCCCAUUUAAUAGAUAUGGAAACUGAGGCAGACACAGGUUAAGUGCCUUACCCUGGGUCAAACAACUAGGAAAUGUCUGAGGAAGGAUUUAAACUUGAGUCCUUUUAUGUUCAAAUCCAGGACUCUAUUUACUAUAGAGUCUUACCUGUGGAAAGGAAACAAGACUGACAGUUUGUGGGGGAAGGGCCCAACUGGGAGUGGCAGUUGGGUCUUGUGACUAGCACUUCCUUCCUGCCAUGUGAGACUGGCUUCUGGGUGUUGGAGGAGAGAGGAGCGUGGUCAGCCCAGUCUGGAGUGGCAUGUUCUUCUUGGUUCAGCUGGAAGACACAGGCUUCUGAAGGUCCUGAUCUACCAACGACUCACUGGGGUUACUUGGCUGCUUGGACAGCUUGGAUGAGAUGGGAGGCAUCAGCUCCGUUCCUUCUGGUGAAAUGGAAGAUCACUAAACCUUACUUCUGUAGAUCCUGCCUCUGCCUUCUAAGACUGGAUGUUUGACUGAAUUGACUGGAUCGACCUGCUGUUUUGGCAUCAUGUGAACACAGCCAGUAAGUGCUGAUGCAGCUACAGAAUUGUAGAAAUUAAUCCUGAAAAUGGUGGUGAAGGAAAUCCAAGCCCGAGUCAGAAACCAUGCUCAGUCGGGGAAGGCUGAUCAAUUUCCCGCUCCCUAAUUAAAACAAGCCACCAAACACCACAGUAGCACAAAAUCUAGUGCAUUCUUUAGUGAUGGAUGUGACCGGCUUGCAAAUUUCUUCUUGCUGGAGGAUGGUGAUUUCUUGUGCAACAGCAGGUAAACAGAAAGCCUGCUGGCAAUUCAUGUUCUAUAAUGUGUAUAGAUCCACACCCUCAACCCCUAGACACAGAAAUCCCGUUUGAACUGAAUUCAUAAGAAUAUUUUUACCAAGGAGUCAGGUUGGGUGUAAUGGAUAUGGAGUACUUGAUUUAACAUCAGAUACCCUGAGUUGAAAUGCUACCCAUGUAAAAAAAACCCACUUAAAAAGUGAUUUCUCCAG
rnacentral:lncRNA from 1 species